rnacentral:tRNA from 1 species
ACCUGGCUGGCUCAGUCGGUACAGCAUGUGACUCUUGAUCCUAGGGUUGUGAGUUCAAGCCCCACGUUGGGCA